GCCUGCUGUCAGACCAUCUUGGGCUGAGCACUUGACGCAGUUCGUAAGCUAAGCGGGAUUGGACCUGAUCAAGUCUUGGAUGGGAGAUCCCCUAGUGGAGCUGCAGGAUGCUCCAGGGA
rnacentral:rRNA from 1 species